rnacentral:tRNA from 1 species
GCGACACUAGCUCAGUUGGUAGAGCGCAACCUUGCCAAGGUUGCGGUCACGAGUUCGAACCUCGUGUGUCGCUCCA